CUAUCUGUCGUGGGCGCUGGAGAACUGAGGGGGGCUGCUCCUAGUACGAGAGGACCGGAGUGGACGCAUCACUGGUGUUCGGGUUGUCAUGCCAAUGGCACUGCCCGGUAGCUAAAUGCGGAAGAGAUAAGUGCUGAAAGCAUCUAAGCACGAAACUUGCCCCGAGAUGAGUUCUCCCUGAGACUUAGAGUCUCCUGAAGGAACGUUGAAGACGACGACGUUGAUAGGCCGGGUGUGUAAGCGCAGCGAUGCGUUGAGCUAACCGGUACUAAUGAACCGUGAGGCUUAACCUUACAACGCCGAAG
rnacentral:rRNA from 1 species